CAAGGCGUCAUCUUCAUAGAAUUAAGAUCAAUUGACAACGAAUCUCAAAUGGUGUAUCAAGGGGAAUCGACUCGCAAACUACGAUUUAAUAAAGAAGAGAACUCACCGCUUUUGAACUCCGAUGCAGUGAAUCUCCGGAAGAUCACCAGAAUUAUGCAGGUCAACAGUCUAUGUCGUCAUCUUCACAUAAAGCACCUGCAGUUGAACCAAAGUCAAAUACUAUAUUCAACACACCAGGAGGAAGUCCAAUCUCAUGAGAUAGUCUUGCUGUACACAACGCGGACAAUGGUGCCUGUUCAGCUGUUUUCAGAUUGACAGUGUUGCCAUACACCAAUACCGGCCCCAAUCAGAUCAGCAGCUAGUCACAUCUCCGAUUUAGGUGACUCCAAUGCUGAGUUCAACGAAAAGGGAAUAUGUAGCGGGGAUAAUGUUUGUUUAGGGAUCUAGUUAGAUAGGUGAAGAGAAUUUGAUGCCGAAGAUGUGAACUAGUCAUAGCAGUGCCUAAUGUCGUAGACACUGCUGCUGGAGGCAAAGCUGUAGACGGAAUCGACAAUGAUGUUGGAGAAACCGAUGGUGAGUCUUAUUGUAAAUGGGGUUAAAUAUGUAUGGCUUUGAUGUUGAAUUGUUGGAUUGUCACAAAUUGAAAUACACUGAAAGUUUGUAUUGUAGUAGUUAACUGUUUGUGUCUUAAUUCAAAUGGAAGUGCCCUGCUAGCAGUAUCGAUGUAAAUAGGUGAUUGUAGAAGUUCUUGACUAUUGUUGGCAAUGUUAAUUAGGAUGCGGCUUUUGUAAUUGCAAAUGGUUUGGAAAUGUUGUAACUUAAAAAAGUGAACAUGGAUUAGUUUGUGAAGGUUGAGUUGUGUAAUGGAUAUUUGGAAAGUUAUGGAAAUGUAUUUGAAUGUGUAUUGAAUA